rnacentral:rRNA from 1 species
CCUGAACGCUGGCGGCGUGGCUAAGACAUGCAAGUCGCACGGGUAGCAAUACCCACGUGGCGGACGGGUGAGUAAUUUAUCGCUAAUGUACCCUCGAGCCAGGGAUAGCUGUCCGAAAGGGCAGGUAAUACCUGAUGAUAUAACUGUGUCGCAUGACAUGGUUCUCAAAGCAGCAAUGCACUCCUGGAGCAGGCGAUAUCGAUCAGCUAGUUGGUGAGGUAACGGCUCACCAAGGCUAUGACGCGUAGCUGGUCUGAGAGGACGAUCAGCCACAUCGGGACU